rnacentral:rRNA from 1 species
CUUGUAACCAUAAGAGGUCCAGCCUGCCCAGUGAUUUUAUUUAACGGCCGCGGUAUUCUAACCGUGCGAAGGUAGCGCAAUCACUUGUUUUCUAAAUAAAGACCAGUAUGAAAGGCAUCACGAGAACUUAACUGUCUCCUUUCUCCAAUCAGUGAACCUAAUCUCCCCGUGAAGAAGCGGGGAUCCCCCUAUAAGACGAGAAGACCCUGUGGAGCUUAAAAUAUAGUAUCAACUACUGCCCCAAUUACCCUCCCCACUUCCCCAGCGGCACCCUGAUCGCAUAUUUUUGGUUGGGGUGACCGCGGAGAAAAACUUACCCUCCGUGAUGAAAAAGAAUUCCCUUAAACAACAAGUUACAACUUUAUGUAUCAAAAAAUUGACAUUCAUUGACCCAAUAAAUUGAUUAACGAAC